GGGGUGGGCGGUCUGAGCCUGUGGCAGCACCAAGUCAGAGCACCUGCUUCGCGUGAGGGGGAUGCCGGGACACUCGGACAUGCUUCCUCUGCCUACCAUUUCUUUCACGGGCCAGGAAUUCAGAGCGUCCGCCCCAGGGUGCUCGGUUGGCUAAGUGUCCCCCUCAGACCAGCAGACGAGCCGCACCUGGGAACUUGUUAGACAUGCAAAUGCCCUGGGCGAGAGCCCCACCCCGAACUUACUGAAUCAGAAACUUGAGAGUGGGGCCCAGAGAGCUGUGGCUUCAGAAGCGCCCCAGGUGAUCCCGAUGACACUCAAGUGGGGAGCCCCACUGCUUUGUUUUGCACUUACUUAGAGCUCGCUUCUGUGUCUCUUCGGUCAGCUGGUCUGGUUCCCGGCUGUGGUUCCUGAUCCCUGAAGUCUGGUUCCAUGGGCAUAAUCUUUGCCCGCUGAACCUGAGGGAACUGCCUUGUCAGUUUCCCUCCCAGGCUCCGGGCCCUGCUCCUCCACCCCGUCCUCCCCACUCUGCUUCCUUCUCUCAUAGCAGUUGAGGCUUAACCUCAUCCUGUAAGCAACAGAGACCCCGGGUCUGUUGCCCCUUCCAGACCUGCUACAUAGAGUUAGUAUCAAAUAUGCUGCUAUCAAAUACUUCUGAAUGAAAAAAUUAAGCAGUUUUUAGUUUCCAAAAUUCUUCUCCCCAUAUUAUCAGAUCAUUGUGACAGUCAAAGACAGAGCUCAAGCGUUAACCAUAUUUAACAGUCAACAACACCGGGGCCAACCCAGGUUAUAGGACAGUCAGCAGUAGAGCAAAGUCUGGAAUUCAAGUCUCUUAAAUCCUGAUACCGUAGCCCAUUCCACUGAGCGGCAUUUUCUGCACUCUUCAUCUAGCCAGUGGUAUUUCCCACUCUCCCCGUAGCACAUCAUUAACAUUUCCUGCAAGGCCCAGAUUUGAAAUCAACACUCACUUCCCGCAGGUACUGGUUUAAACUGGACAAACUGCAGACGAUGUCCUUUACCUUGUCGCACAGGUGCACACCAAAAGAUUUAGUAGAAGACGGGAGACUGGAUGUUGGGCCGUGCAGAGAAGGUCGCGUGCACCUGCGGUGAUUGGUUCUUGGGGUCAAAUGAGUCUCUGGCGAUUGACAGAGUUGAUUAAUGGGUUGGGGAAUCCUGCAGUGGUUGAGACAUCACGUGAUUUUUAACUCGCCCCUCUUACUAGUUUACAUUUGCCCCUCAUGUCUUAGGAACAUCAAGAAUAAAGUUGGAGUGGGAGAGA